rnacentral:rRNA from 1 species
UACGGAGGGUCCAAGCGUUAUCCGGAAUCAUUGGGUUUAAAGGGUCCGUAGGCGGUUUUGUAAGUCAGUGGUGAAAGCCCAUCGCUCAACGGUGGAACGGCCAUUGAUACUGCAAGACUUGAAUUAUUAGGAAGUAACUAGAAUAUGUAGUGUAGCGGUGAAAUGCUUAGAGAUUACAUGGAAUACCAAUUGCGAAGGCAGGUUACUACUAGUGGAUUGACGCUGAUGGACGAAAGCGUGGGGAGCGAACAGG